UGUCGUGAGAUGUUGGGUUAAGUCCGCAACGAGCGCAACCCUUAUCCUUGUUGCCAGCGGUUCGGCCGGGAACUCAAAGGAGACUGCCAGUGGUAAACUGGAGGAAGGUGGGGAUGACGUCAAGUCAUCAUGGCCCUUACGAGUAGGGCUACACACGUGCUACAAUGGCAUAUACAAAGAGAAGCGACCUCGCGAGAGCAGGCGGACCUCAUAAAGUAUGUCGUAGUCCGGAUUGGAGUCUGCAACUCGACUCCAUGAAGUCGGAAUCGCUAGUAAUCGUAGAUCAGAAUGCACGGUGAAUACGUUCCCGGGCCUU
rnacentral:rRNA from 1 species